rnacentral:rRNA from 1 species
GACGAACGCUGGCGGCGUGCUUAACACAUGCAAGUCGAACGGAAAGGCCUCUUUCGGGGGGUACUCGAGUGGCGAACGGGUGAGUAACACGUGAGUAACCUGCCCUUGACCUUGGGAUAACUUCAGGAAACUGGGGCUUAUACCGGAUAGGAGCUCCUGCUGCAUGGUGGGGGUUGGAAAGUUUCGGCGGUUGGGGAUGGACUCGCGGCUUAUCAGCUUGUUGGUGGGGUAGUGGCUUACCAAGGCUUUGACGGGUAGCCGGCCUGAGAGGGUGACCGGCCACAUUGGGACUGAGAUACGGCCCAGACUCCUACGGGAGGCAGCAGUGGGGAAUAUUGCACAAUGGGUGGAAGCCUGAUGCAGCAACGCCGUGUGCGGGAUGACGGCCUUCGGGUUGUAAACCGCUUUCGCUCAUGACGAAGCUUUGUGUGACGGUAGUGGGUGAAGAAGCACCGGCUAACUACGUG